rnacentral:lncRNA from 1 species
UAUGAAGCAGGCCUAGCAGUUUUCUUGGUGAGCUAAAUUUGAGAAUCUCUAUGAUCUUGAUUGCUGAUUCAAACUCCAGGCAACCGUAGAAGUAAUGUUCUUCUGUCAAAAUUUCAUUUCAUCCUGGUUCUUCAGUGCUCAAUUCAAGUUAUGCUCAGUCCGGGUUACCUGCAUGUUUUGGCAUUUUGGCGCAAAGUAGCUUAAUCUGUCUCCUCUCUUGGUCUCUCGGAAUUGGAUGGUGAAAUGCUACUGGAACAAUAUCGGUUGCUGCAUUCUUAAUAUCCCUUGAGUUUGGUUGGUCAUGUUUCAGUGACAACUGUUGAACUGCAAGUCUAUGCUGCAGUGACUUGUUGCAACUCUAAUUCCCUGCACUCCUUAGUGUUACAUGCUUAUAUAUCUCGUUGUUGCUGCGUGCUGAGUAACUCUAGCAGUUACCUGUUGACAUCGUCACCUUUGUGGAAUCAGAACGGGAGACGCGUUUCCAUUUAUUUUUCCUUGCUCAGUCGCUCCAUACAAUUGUGUGCAUCCGACUCCGGUACAAGCUGCCAGUCAUGUGCGUGCUUGGUUUCUUUUCAUUCAGUCCUGAUCAUUUGAAUACGGUACUCGAAUUAGGCUUUCGCCCUGCUUUAUAGUACAUCAUAAAGCCACUCAGACGAAUGAUGCAUGGUGUUUGGAGAACCUCAUACAAAGAAAUUCCGAUCCAUUAUGAGUUAAACACAGGGUUUAGGGUUUUGCGUGGGUGGUUGACAUCCAGCCUCACGUCUCAAUAUAUAGAUGAUCACAAUUAUAAUUACAUACGUAUACGAAUACGUGUACAAGGACAAUAUACUAGACCCUACUUUACAUGCCCCCUCAAUCUGAACUACAUACAAGAUUCAGAUUGGUUCUAAAACGGUCUAGCAUAUGUCUAGUAGCGGGUUUAGUAAAUACAUCCGCUAAAUGAUCAUCUGUAGAAAUAAACCUGACUUCCAGUUCACAAGCAGCUACUCGUUUCUCACAAAAUGGAAAUCAAUCUCAAUGUGUUUGAUCCGAGCAUGAAACACUGGAUUGGCCGUCAGGUAAGUUGCCCCUAAGUUAUCACACCAUAAUAUAGGAGUGCGAUGCCGUGGGACUCCAAGUUCUGUGAGAACUGAGUCUGUCCAAAUGGCUUCAGCCGCGCCAUUGGCCAAUGCCUUGUACUCUGCCUCGGUGCUUGAUCUCGAGACUGUGGGUUGUUUCUUCGAGCUCCAAGAUAGAAGGUUAGGUCCAACAAAUAUAGCAAAACCACCAGUGGAGCGCCUAUUAUCAACACAGCCUGCCCAGUCUGCAUCGGUAAAUAUACUCACUCCAAUAAAUCUGGACUUACGAAUCCGUAGUCCCAUGUCUAGCGUACCUUUGACAUAUCUCAGAAUACGCUUGACUGCUUCCCAAUGACCCUCCGUUGGCUGAGACAGGAACUGACACACUUUGUUCACUGCGAAGGAGAUAUCAGGACGAGUGAGGGUCAAAUACUGAAGUGCUCCAACCACACUGCGAUACCGAAAGGAGUCAUCUCUACCCAGUAGUGCACCACUAUGACGUGAGAGACUCUCGGAAGUAGCAAGCGGAGUGGAAGUGGCCUUGCAGUUCUCCAUGUUAACGCGAUGAAGAAGAUUCAAAGCAUACUUUUUCUGCGUCAAGGUCAUGCCCCCCUGAAUGAAAGGACGCUUCCAAACCAAGAAAGUACUCGAGGCGACCCAAAUCUUUGAUGGGAAAGCUAGCAGACAACGACUGCACAAGACGACCCACCACGGCGGGGGUAGAGCCAGCAAUCACAAUAUCAUCAACGUACACCAGCAUGUAUAUCUGUAUUUUACCCUGGGAGAAGAUGAACAGAGAUGCAUCUGAUCUGGAGGCAACAAAACCGAGCUGCGAAAGGCGCUGACUCAAACGAGCAUACCAGGCACGAGGCGACUGCUUGAGACCGUAAAUAGACCGCUGAAGUUUGCAGACAUGAGAGGGAUAAGUGGCAUCCUCGAACCCAGGUGGCUGCUGCAUGUACACAUCUUCGGCCAAGAACCCAUGUAAAAAGGCAUUGCUCACAUCAAUCUGUCGGAGGCUCCAACCACGAGACACAGCAAGAGACAGAACCAAGCAAACCGUGGCAGGCUUCACCACCGGGCUAAAAGUAUCUCCGUAGUGAAUCCCAUGCUGUUGAGUGAAACCGCGAGCAACAAGACGAGCUUUGUGCUUAUCAACAGACCCAUCCGGACGAUGCUUGGUUUUGAAAAUCCACUUGCAGCUCACAAUAUUAACACCAGGUGGCCGAGGCACCAACACCCAGGUGUUAGUGUGACGGAGAGCAGCAAACUCCUCGGACAUGGCGGCACGCCAGGCAGGUUCACCCAGAGCAUCACGAUGGGAAACCGGCGCGGCGAAGAAGGCACGGCGGCGAGAGUCAUACCGAACCGUGCCAUCAGUGUAAGACUUCUCCUUGCGCGUAUGACCACGAUGGCGUGUAACCAUAGCAUGCGCCGGAACGGCAUCGCCGGUAGGAGAAUAUGACGGCGACGAGGGUUCGGCCGAGGGUGUCGCGGCUGAGGGGACCUCAGCAAGGGGCGACACGGGCCGAGAGACAAUGGUGUCCGACCGAGGCGAGGAUGGCGGCCCAGGCGACAGACCGGGCGAGGGUGGCGACCCAGCUGUGCCGGGAGAGGGUGGCGACCAAGCCGCGUCCGCGGUCGCGCCAUCGGGCGCCGCGCCUGCCUCGGGCGGCGGGACAUGCACAUCGGGCGCAUCAGGAGGCGUCGGAGCAGCAACACGUACUUGGGGGGGACUCAAAGCAAUAUCACCUGCAAAAGACAUGUAUUGAAUUCAUGCUCCAACCAACUCAUCCAAAAGUCCGAACUGAUGGAGGGAGGUGGGCAAUAUAUAUCAACACUCCCCCUCACGUCUAGGCUAUUUUAGUCCUUAGACGUGCGAUCGAUGUAGGCCGCAGAAUCGUUUUAUUUAAUACUGCGUUGGCAGGGUCUUGAACUCAAGACCUCUUGGUUCUGAUACCAUAUUGAAUUCAUGCUCCAACCAACUCAUUCAAAAGUCUGAACUGAUGGAGGGAGGUGGGCAAUAUAUUUCAACAUUAUGGACGUGUCACUUUUACGGAGUGGAAGCAUGUAGAGGAGCGUCUAGAGAAACGGUUGAGGAAUUAAAAAGGCAAAGUGCUUUCAGUCGGAGGACGGCUGGUUCUGAUUAACUCUAUCCUCACAAAUAUGGUUCUCUAUAUGCUUUCUUUCUUCCAACUCCCAAAGAGGGUCUUGCAAAGACUGGACUAUUUUAGAUCUAAAUUCUUUUGGCAAGGAGAUGGUGGAAAGAAAAAAUACAAACUGGCCAAAUGGAGUAUGGUUUGUAGGCCAAAAGACCAAGGUGACCUUGGAAUUCAUGACCUGCAGGUCAAGAAUGAGGCCCUACUUAGAGCAUCUCCAACAGCCGCCCAACGCGCGGCGCGCUAAAAACCCAUUUGCAGUGCCGGAUCGCCUGUUUUAGCGGGGCGCGGUGCGCUUGCUCCAGAAGCCGCUACAAAAUUUACCGCGCGCGAGCCGCUCCAGCAGCCGCUGCAAAAAACUGCGCGCGCUCUCGCACAAACAACAUAUGCACACCGAACUAAAUAUACAAAAAACAUAUGCAUAGCUUAAAAAAACGAUACAUAGAUAUUUCACAAUGCGUACAUAGUUCAUCAUAGCAUAGAUAGAUAAAAAAACUAGUCCAACACGAUAAAAAAAAAGUGGUACAACUAGAUAAAAACUACGGUGCAACUAGAACCUACUCCGAGUCGUCAUCAUCAUUCUCGCUGGUGUUGUUCGAGGUAUCGAGUCACACGUCAUCCCAACGAUCAUCGUCUGACGAGAAGAACGACUUCCCAGCUGCGUUAACGAGAUCGCACUGCGAUAUGGCCAGUGCCUUCCGCCGACGCCUGUCCGCCCGCUCCGCGCGGCGCCUUGCCGUCCUCUACGUCUAGAAGGCGUUCUCAUUGGCGACGUCCUCCGGGUGGCGCCGACGCCACUCCGCCAUGGCGCGCUCGUCCUCCUUGGAGAUGAGGAGGCGGCGCUGCCGCCGACAGUGUUCCUCACGGUCCUGGUCUGUUAUAAGACGAGGCGGAGGGGCGACGACCUGCGUCUGCUCGCGCGUGUAGACGUUGUGUAAGUUCAUCUGCGCGCGAGGCCUCUCUAGGCACCACGCCGCCGAGUCGUACACGCGGGCGGCCUCGUGCGCGGUCUCGAACCUGUCGAGGCCGAGGCGGACAUCGCUGGACCAGAUCUCAGCGUAGAAGGCGCCGGAGGGGCGCUCGCGGACGCCGCGAUAGCCUGAAGAUCCCAGGCGGCGCGGCGGCAUGGUGGUGCGGUGGUGGCGGGGCGGGGAAGCGGCGAGGAAGCGAUAGAGGAAGCGGGGAGACCGCGCGUGGCAGUGUGGAUAGCACUGGGAGCCCACGUGGCGAGCGCCGCAAUUUAUAGGCGCGUCGGAAGCGGUGCGCCAAAUCUAGCGCCCGACCGCCCGCUUUCUCCCGCGCGCACGCAAUCUUUUCCCGCGCGCGCUAGUUUCCCGCCUCCGCUGGAGCGCGCGAAAACGUCCCGCGCGCGCUAAAAUGGCAGUUUACCGCGCGCUCGUCUUUUGGCGCCGCUGUUGGAGAUGCUCUUAGUAAAUGGUUGUUCAAACUUCUUACUAAGGAUGGUGUUUGGAAAACCAUGCUACGUAGCAAGUAUCUAGGCCAAAAGGCAGUGUCUCAGGCAUAUUGGAAACUUGAAGACUCGCUCUUUUGGGCUGGGCUAAUGGCGGCAAAGAAGCAUCUUUUUCGCUUUGGGUCUUUUGCGAUAAAGGACGGAUCGGAGAUUCAUUUAUGGGAAGACAUCUGGCUAGGCAAUGCAAGUCUACGAGAACAAUAUCCAUACUUGUACAUCAUUGCUCGUGAUAAGAAUAAUACUAUUGCGCAGGUGCUCAGUUCAUCCCCACCAAAUCUUUCGUUCAGGUGGGAUUUGAUUGGCCGCCGUCUUGUGUCAUGGCAUAAUCUAUUGUCCCGUCUGGAUUCGAUUAACCUGACACAAGGUCGAGAUGUGUUACGUUGGAACCUUACUACAUCAAGGUCUUUCACAGUAGACUCUAUAUACUGUGUGCUCACGUAUUUUGAGGUGCCAAUGAGUAAUAACAAAAAAAAAC